CUACGGGUUGCUGCAGCUGAGGAAAUUCUACAAUGCUCGCAAGAGUGAUAGAAUGAACCAGAGUGUUUCUCCUAGAGAAACUUUUGUCUAGUGCAAAAAGCUAGAUGAAUAAGGACUGGGCAAGACCGGUGCCAGCCGCCGCGGUAAUACCGGCGGUCCAAGUCGCAUCCAUUUUUAUUGGGUCUAAAACAUCCGUAGCUUGCUUUGCAAGUCUCUUGUGAAAUCCCAUAUCUCAAGUAUGGGGCGUGCAAGAGAUACUGCAAGAGCUAGAGACCGGAAGACGCAAGGAGUACGAUCAAGGUAACGGUAAAAUGUGUUAAUCUUGGUCGGACUAACAAUGGCGAAGGCACUUUGCGAGUACGGAUCUGACAGUAAGGGAUGAAGGCUAGGGGCGCAAAAGGGAUUAGAUACCCUGGUAGUC
rnacentral:rRNA from 1 species